rnacentral:tRNA from 1 species
GGCGACGUAGUUCAACGGAUAGAAUAGGUGUUUCCUAAACACUAGAUGUGGGUUCGAUUCCCGCCGUGGCCA